rnacentral:rRNA from 1 species
UACAGAGGUCUCAAGCGUUGUUCGGAUUCAUUGGGCGUAAAGGGUGCGUAGGUGGUGAUGCAAGUCUGGUGUGAAAUCUUGGAGCUUAACUCCGAAACUGCAUUCGAUACUGCCGUACUUGAGGACUGGAGAGGAGACUGGAAUUUACGGUGUAGCGGUGAAAUGCGUAGAUAUCGUAAGGAAGACCAGUGGCGAAGGCGGGUCUCUGGACAGUUCCUGACGCUGAGGCACGAAGGCCAGGGGAGCAAACGGG